GCCCAACAACUAGCCCCCCCACCCCCCUCAUAAAUCCCCACAAUAUAUCCCCUUCAAAAUUUACAAAAACAAACCAUUCUUCCCCCUUAGUAUGGGCGACAGAAAAGGACACCGGGAGCUACAGAUAAAGUACCGCAAGGGAACGCUGAAAGAGAAAUGAAAAAAUUAUCUUAAGCAUCAAAAAGCAAAGACUAGUACUUG
rnacentral:rRNA from 1 species